rnacentral:rRNA from 1 species
AAAGGAAUAGACGGGGGCCCGCACAAGCGGAGGAACAUGUGGUUUAAUUCGAUGAUACGCGAGGAACCUUACCUGGGCUUAAAUGUAGAGUGCAUUGGAGGGAAACUUUCAUUUUCUUCGGAACUUUUUACAAGGUGCUGCAUGGUUGUCGUCAGCUCGUGCCGUGAGGUGUCGGGUUAAGUCCCAUAACGAGCGCAACCCUUAUCGUUAGUUGCCAGCGGGUGAAGCCGGGAACUCUAACGAAACUGCCGGUGUAAACCGUGAGGAAGGUGGGGAUGACGUCAAAUCAGCACGGCCCUUAUGUCCAGGGCUACACACGUGUUACAAUGGCCGGUACAGAGGGCAGCUACCUGGAGACAGGAUGCGAAUCUCGAAAGCCGGUCUCAGUUCGGAUCGGAGUCUGCAACCCGACUCCGUGAAGCUGGAUUCGCUAGUAAUCGCGCAUCAGCUACGGCGCGGUGAAUACGUUCCCGGGCCUUGUACACACCGCCCGU